rnacentral:rRNA from 1 species
GGGCCCGCACAAGCGGCGGAGCAUGUGGAUUAAUUCGAUGCAACGCGAAGAACCUUACCUGGGUUUGACAUACACCAGACGCAGUCAGAGAUGGCUGUUCCCUUGUGGUUGGUGUACAGGUGGUGCAUGGCUGUCGUCAGCUCGUGUCGUGAGAUGUUGGGUUAAGUCCCGCAACGAGCGCAACCCUUGUCCUGUAUUGCCAGCGGGUUAUGCCGGGGACUUGCAGGAGACUGCCGGGGUCAACUCGGAGGAAGGUGGGGAUGACGUCAAGUCAUCAUGCCCCUUAUGUCCAGGGCUUCACACAUGCUACAAUGGCUGGUACAGAGGGCUGCGAGACCGUGAGGUGGAGCGAAUCCCUUAAAGCCAGUCUCAGUUCGGAUUGGGGUCUGCAACUCGACCCCAUGAAGUCGGAGUCGCUAGUAAUCGCAGAUCAGCAACGCUGCGGUGAAUACGUUCCCGGGCCUU